rnacentral:rRNA from 1 species
UACGUAGGGUCCGAGCGUUGUCCGGAAUUAUUGGGCGUAAAGGGCUCGUAGGCGGUUUGUCGCGUCGGGAGUGAAAACUCAGGGCUCAACCCUGAGCGUGCUUCCGAUACGGGCAGACUAGAGGUAUGCAGGGGAGAACGGAAUUCCUGGUGUAGCGGUGGAAUGCGCAGAUAUCAGGAGGAACAUCGGUGGCGAAGGCGGUUCUCUGGGCAUUACCUGACGCUGAGGAGCGAAAGCAUGGGGAGCGAACAGG